UUUUCAUUUUGUAAACCACAUUUUUUAGAUUACUGUAAGAAAGUGGUGUAGUAUCCCUGUCUCAUGUUUUGGAUGACAUCAUGCCUGAUAACUGUAAAGAUUGAUCCACUCUAUGGGGAAAAACAAGGAAAAGGUAUAUAAGGGUCCUUUUUGUGGUAAUAGCCAGUACCUAUUUGGCAAGUUAUCGCGUUUGUUGUUUUAGAAAGCAAGAACAUCACCAAACAGCGAGUUAAGAAGAUAUGUCCGCUUGGUGUCGAGGUUAAAGGCAAACGAUGCGAAACUCAGGACGACUAUAAGGCCCCUCCUGCUGCUCCCCCACAGUAAAGAGUUCUUCAUAUAUGAGGGUUCGCUCACGUCUCCGCCAUGCUCGGAGUCAGUACUAUGGGUCGUUAUGAGGCAACCAUUACAGCUGAGUUCACGAAGGCUGCAGAUGCUGAGGAACCUUCCAAGAAAAGGUGGGCGGGUGUUGGCGACAUAUACAAACGUCCGCCCCGAACAAGAACUUAACAACAGGCUUGUGGAAACCAAUUUCCCUUGUUCAGACAACCUCGAUGCCUUCAAUACACCGACAGAACACGGAGGACAUUUAUAGAUAUGAACAUUGGAAAAUGUCACGAAUAUGUGUUUGUUAAAGAGUUUAGGAGCUUAUAUUAACAUAUUUAUGUCAAUACAUUUUUUGGCAUUUCCAAAUUUGACGCCUCAGUGACACAACUUAUAUCCUAUGCAAUUCCCUAUGUGUACCUUAUGUUCCUGUCUUUUGUAAUUUAACAACUGACUUGCCUUUGCAUGUAUUUGUGAUGGUUGCCUCCAGUGAGGAAGGAUAUGUUCACCUUCUCGUGAACACCAUGAACAUGUGUUUGUUGCUUUAAUAUAUGAAAAAGGUUGAUUACUUUACAUUACAUGAGAUUGAUUAUGUUGUGUAAGUUUAACAUCUAUUUAUAUGUUUGAAUAGGAUAUUGAAAUACUUCCAUGCCAUACAUACUCUUAACUCAUCAGCAACCCAUGCUUGUCGUAAGAGACGACUAACGGGAUCAGGUGGUCAGGCUCUCAAACUUUGUUGAUGCAUGUCAUCGUAUCCCAAUUGUGUAGAU